rnacentral:rRNA from 1 species
AUUGAACGCUGGCGGCAUGCCUUACACAUGCAAGUCUAACGGUAACGGGCCUUCGGGUGCCGACGAGUGGCGAACGGGUGAGUAAUACAUCGGAACGUGCCCGAUCGUGGGGGAUAACGAGGCGAAAGCUUUGCUAAUACCGCAUACGAUCUACGGAUGAAAGCAGGGGACCGCAAGGCCUUGCGCGGACGGAGCGGCCGAUGGCAGAUUAGGUAGUGGGUGGGAUAAAAGCUUACCAAGCCGACGAUCUGUAGCUGGUCUGAGAGGAUAAUCAGCCACACUGGAACUGAGACACGCCCCAGAUUCCUACGGAAGGCAGCGGUGGGGAAUUUGGACAAUGGGCGCAAGCCUGAUCCAGCCAUGCCGCGUGCAAGAUGAAGGCCUUCGGGUUGUAAACUGCUUUUGUACGGAACGAAAAGCCUUCUUUUAAUACAGGAGGGUCAUGACGGUACCGUAAGAAUAAGCACCGGCUAACUACGUG